GGGGAUGUUCGGGGGCUGGUGCCUCUCGCAGUCUUCAAAACUGUCUGGGGGGCGGUGCUGAGCCGUCCCCGGUGGGUUCGAUUCCCAUCCAUCCCCGCCA
rnacentral:tRNA from 1 species